rnacentral:rRNA from 1 species
UACGUAGGGUGCAAGCGUUGUCCGGAAUUAUUGGGCGUAAAGAGCUCGUAGGCGGCUCGUUGCGUCGGCUGUGAAAACCCGCAGCUCAACUGUGGGCCUGCAGCUGAUACGGGCGGGCUGGAGUUCGGUAGGGGAGACUGGAAUUCCUGGUGUAGCGGUGAAAUGCGCAGAUAUCAGGAGGAACACCGGUGGCGAAAGCGGCGCGCUGGACCUCUUCUGACGCUGAGGCGCGAAAGCCAGGGGAGCAAACGGG